rnacentral:rRNA from 1 species
GAUGAACGCUGGCGGCGUGCCUAAUACAUGCAAGUCGAGCGAACGGACGAGAAGCUUGCUUCUCUGAUGUUAGCGGCGGACGGGUGAGUAACACGUGGAUAACCUACCUAUAAGACUGGGAUAACUUCGGGAAACCGGAGCUAAUACCGGAUGAUAUUUUGAACCGCAUGGUUCAAAAGUGAAAGACGGUCUUGCUGUCACUUAUAGAUGGAUCCGCGCUGCAUUAGCUAGUUGGUAAGGUAACGGCUUACCAAGGCAACGAUGCAUAGCCGACCUGAGAGGGUGAUCAGCCACACUGGAACUGAGACACGGUCCAGACUCCUACGGGAGGCAGCAGUAGGGAAUCUUCCGCCAUGGGCGCAAGCCUGACGGCGCACCGCCGCGUGAGUGAUGAAGGUCUUCGGAUCGUAAAACUCUGUUAUUAGGGAAGAACAUAUGUGUACGUAACUGUGCACAUCUUGACGGUACCUCCUCCGAAAGCCACGGCUCCCUACGUG